rnacentral:rRNA from 1 species
UCUUUUCAUUGUGUGCCAGCCGCCGCGGUAAUACGUAGGGAGCAAGCGUUGUCCGGAUUUACUGGGUGUAAAGGGUGCGUAGGCGGAUUGGCAAGUCAGAAGUGAAAUCCAUGGGCUUAACCCAUGAACUGCUUUUGAAACUGUUAGUCUUGAGUGAAGUAGAGGUAGGCGGAAUUCCCGGUGUAGCGGUGAAAUGCGUAGAGAUCGGGAGGAACACCAGUGGCGAAGGCGGCCUACUGGGCUUUAACUGACGCUGAGGCACGAAAGUGUGGGUAGCAAACAGG